AGAGCCUACUAUAUUAUAAAACUUAAUGAAGACAAAUUUAGAUAUGACAGCUUUUCCUAUUUUAUAUAGAAAAUAGUAUUCACAAAAUUUAAUUGGGUAGGCUAGAUGUCUUAUUUAAGGUCAUCUUAAUGCUGGCUAACAAUAGUUUUAUUCGAUUUUGUUUCUAAAUUCAAAGAAAAGAAGGUUUGGUUGUUUCAAGAAUAGGCAAAAGCCAAAGUGGAGAAAACAAGCCCAUUAAACAGCUGACUGCUUAAUUACUACAUAAUCUAGAACAACUGAAUCAAAAUAGUUAUGAUCAUAGCCAACCUAAUCAGUGGGAAGGAGGAAGUAUGAAGUAUGGUUGCCAAAAACAAACUUUUUUUCCUAAUCAGAAUAAAAACACCAAAGAGGUAACAUGUGCUUUUAUUAUAACUAUUCAAUUCCACACUACUUUUACAACUCUUAGCAGACAGAGUAAAGAAAAGCUAAUUGUGAAGGGAAAAGAGGUUAGAAGAAAGGCCAAAAAAUAAAGUGGUUUUCAGUUACUGAUAAAUCUUUACUACUGAAGAACCAUACUCAGCUGUCAUGUUAUAACAAUACACAGAGGUGUGCAGAUGCGAAUGCUAUGGAAUUCCAACCAGAGACACACACUCCCUUUCAUCUCUGCUUCCCGGUUGCUGAGUAAACUUUGUUCAUAGUCUUAACCUUCCAUUUUCUUUUUCUUUUUUAAAUAUGGAACACUUCACGAAUUUGCGUGUCAUCCUUGUGCAGGGGCCAUGCUAAUCUUCUCUGUAUCAUUGCAAUUUUAGUACAUGUGCUGCCAAAGUGAGCACUAACUCCCAUUUUCUAUGUACUUCUAA